GAUGAACGCUGGCGGUAUGCUUAACACAUGCAAGUCGAACGGUACCUUCGGGUAUAGUGGCGGACGGGUGAGCAACGCGUGAGAAUCUAUCUUCAGGUCGGGGACAACAGUUAGAAAUGACUGCUAAUACCGGAUGUGCCGAACGGUAAAAGAUUUAUUGCCUGAAAAAGAGCUCGCGUCAGAUUAGCUAGUAGGUGGUGUAAGAGACUACCUAGGCUUCGAUCUGUAGCUGGUCUGAGAGGACGAUCAGCCACACUGGAACUGAGACACGGUCCAGACUCCUACGGGAGGCAGCAGUGGGGAAUUUUCCGCAAUGGGCGAAAGCCUGACGGAGCAAUACCGCGUGAGGGACGAAGGCUCUUGGGUCGUAAACCUCUUUUCUCAAGGAAGAUUCAGACGGUACUUGAGGAAUAAGCAUCGGCUAACUCUGUG
rnacentral:rRNA from 1 species